GACGAACGCUGGCGGCGUGCUUAACACAUGCAAGUCGAACGGAAAGGCCCUGCUUGCAGGGUACUCGAGUGGCGAACGGGUGAGUAACACGCGGGUGAUCUGCCCUGCACUUCGGGAUAAGCCUGCGAAACUGGGUCUAAUACCGGAUAGGAGCCAUUUUGAGUGUGAGGGGUGGAAAGUUUUUUCGGUGUGGGAUGAGCGCGCGGCCUAUCAGCUUGCUGGUGGGGUAAUGGCCUACCAAGGCGGCGACGGGUAGCCGGCCUGGGAGGGUGGACGGCCACAUUGGGGCUGGGAUACGGCCCAGACUCCUACGGGGGGGAGGAGGUGGGGAUAAUGCACAAUGGGGGCGAGCCUGAUGCAGCGACGCCGCGUGGGGGAUGACGGCCUUCCGGUUGGAAACUCCUUUCGCUAGGUACGGAGCUUUUUGUGACGGUACCUAGAUAAGAAGCACCGGCUAACUACGUG
rnacentral:rRNA from 1 species